GUGGGGAAUAUUGGACAAUGGGCGAAAGCCUGAUCCAGCAAUGCCGCGUGAGUGAUGAAGGCCUUAGGGUUGUAAAGCUCUUUUACCCGGGAUGAUAAUGACAGUACCGGGAGAAUAAGCCCCGGCUAACUCCGUGCCAGCAGCCGCGGUAAUACGGAGGGGGCUAGCGUUGUUCGGAAUUACUGGGCGUAAAGCGCGCGUAGGCGGCUUUGUAAGUUAGAGGUGAAAGCCCGGAGCUCAACUCCGGAACUGCCUUUAAGACUGCAUCGCUAGAAUUGUGGAGAGGUGAGUGGAAUUCCGAGUGUAGAGGUGAAAUUCGUAGAUAUUCGGAAGAACACCAGUGGCGAAGGCGACUCACUGGACACAUAUUGACGCUGAGGUGCGAAAGCGUGGGGAGCAAACAGGAUUAGAAACCCCGGUAGUCC
rnacentral:rRNA from 1 species